rnacentral:lncRNA from 1 species
AAAUAUAUUUCUAAUAAAGCAAUCGCCCGAUGGUGUACAUAUUAGAAAUAACAAGAUGUAAUCAUCAAGUGUGAGAGAUGGCAACAUCAUGAUGGGAUGGUAUGUACUGUUGUGCUCAUCAAUAGGUUAGUCUUUCAUUCUCUUGCAGCCAGUAUGUUUUUUGUUAUGCAAACAAUUAGGAAAUAUCUAAUUUCUAUGGUUGGCAGGGGGAGCUCAAGGUCAUGGCGGGGCUUCGAUUUUUCUUGUAGAAAAGAGAGACAGAGGAGGAUCCAGGGAGGAGGAGAGGUAGGAGAAGAAGGACGGGGAAGUAGGAAGGGUGCAGUAGGGGUGAGUGUGCUUCCGCCUGCCAUGCCCAAGGCUUGAUCUGCCGCCGCCUCUCCUCUACCCAUGCUGUCUGUGACAUGUCAGAUCCCCAGCUGCCGGCACUUCUCCUCUGCCCAUGGGCCAUGGCUGUUCUGAUGCAUCAAAUCCGUAAGCUUCCAGUCGCAUCUCCAUCUCUUGCAGAUUGAUUUACAAUUGGGACCUCUAAUGAUGGUGCCGUCCCUAACAAAGACUGCAGAUCGAUCUGCUGUAACAUUGGCUGGGUGUUCUCUUCUCGACUCUACCAACACUCUGGAGUUACAAGCAAUUACAUCAGGUAGAUAUAUCUAUGUUCUUUUUUUUUUUGCUUUGAGCUUCUUUGAUUUUAUUGGUAAACGGGGAGAGGCUGGUGAGCUGUCAGCACAUCUUGGCCACAACUGAUUUACAGAAAGACGAAUGGACAUGCAGACUAAGCUACAUAGCAAAGGGAUUUUGGUAGUACAUGCCAUGUUUAUGCUCACUGUUGAAUAGUCUGUAUAUAACUAUUUAUGCAAUACUUGAACCAUAGGAGCAAUUCAUUCUGUAUAUUUUGCUGGGGAUUGUGCCUUGCAGUCAAUUUAUAGAAGGGUAAGAUGUAUCGCAAUAUCUUUGACUUGCAUUCUCUGUGAUGUCAAGUAAGGAAAUAGAAUAUAUAUACUCUUUGAAUUAUCUUUUCUUUUUUUCGAUGUCUCUAUCUUACUUAUAUAAUCCAAUUGGCAUUCGCUAGAGUUUCUGUUGAUGAAACAUUUGUUUUGUGAUGUGAGGAGGUUCUGUUUGUGACUUUGCAAUCAAUAUUCAUAGAUACGGUUCGUAGAUCAUGAUAUCUGCACAAUCUAAAUCUACUUCCUGUGACCAUAUAUUGUAUUAAUGGGUUGUGUCAGGGUUAUUUUAUCAACUACUGGGUUGUUGAUCUACAUUACGGUUUAAUUCUUACACGAAUUAAUGUUGACUCGAUUCCCUGUAGUAGGUUGAGAGGCUUCUCCUCUCAUGAUUUAUUCUGAUUAGUUUGCUUGGCUCCAUGCUCCUCAUGAUUUCUUUGAAUUUUUCUGUAGGAGCUCGGUCAAAAAUCACCUAAGAAAAAUAUGUCGUUCUUCUCUACAAGGGUUGCAUGUGGAAUUUGAGGAGAAUCUGUGCACCAGCAUCUGACUCCUUGAUGUUGCUCUGAUCAUAUUGUGUAAAUAUAUUUCUAAUAAAGCAAUCGCCCGAUGGUGUACAUGUUAGAAAUAACAAGAUGUAAUCAUCAAGUGUGAGAGAUGGCAACAUCAUAAUGGGAUGGUAUGUACUGUUGUGCUCAUCAAUAGAGUUAGAUCACUUUUCUGUCUGAGAGUCGAUUUUUGUGUGCGUUAGAUGGAUUGACAAGUACGAAAGAUUGAUGCCAAGCAGAACUAAAACCUGUCCAUGGGUUACCUUCAAUCCCGCAUUUCAAUCAACAACAUUUGGCCGAGCAAGCGCACGGGUGGCGCAAGAGGCAAUGGGCAGCCGGUGGAGACUGAGUGGUGAGCGGCGGUGGCGAGGUCGAGCGGUUGGCACCAGCGGCGAGUAGGCAAUUACCGUGAUGGGCGAGCGGACAGGGGGAGUAGGUGUCACGAUUGCAUCACAAUUGGGAUAAAGUAAACAAUGCAUACGUGUGGCCAUUGACUGAUUUUGUGUGUUGUGUGCUUGUGUUAACAGCCAACCAAAUCAAUCAGCCAAGGGCCAUUAUGUACGUGAGUGUGUUAGCAGUGGGUAUAUCUGAAGAUUAUUUCUCAACUCGGCAUGUGGGUAGACUAAAAAGACGAUGCCAUGGUAGCAUGGCAGACCUGGCAAGUGCCACGAACAUCAUGAUAUUCUUCCUUUUCUUAAUUCCUUGAUUUGAAAAAUAAUCUGCUCUGCGUGUGUAGGAACAUAGUAGUCGGGCAAACGACACUUUGGCAUCUUGAUCUAUCAAGGGAAAUAAUGUC